CCUACGGGUGGCAGCAGUGAGGAAUCUUGGUCAAUGGACGAGAGUCUGAACCAGCCAAGUAGCGUGAAGGAUGACUGCCCUAUGGGUUGUACACUUCUUUUAUAUGGGAAUAAAAUGUUCCACGUGUGGGCUUUUGUAUGUACCAUAUGAAUAAGGAUCAGCUAACUCCGUGCCAGCAGCCGCGGUAAUACGUAGGAUCCGAGCGUUAUCCGGAUUUAUUGGGUUUAAAUGGAGCGUAGGUGGAUUGUUAAGUCAGUUGAGAAAGUUUGCGGCUCAACCGUAAAAUUGCAGUUGAGACUGGCAGUCUUGAGUACAGUAGAGGUGGGCGGAAGUCGUGGUGUAGCGGUGAAAUGCUUAGAUAUCACGAAGAACUCCGAUUGCGAAGGCAGCUCACUGGACUGCAACUGACACUGAGGCUCGAAAGUGUGGGUAUCAAACAGGAUGAGAUACCCUUGUAGUC
rnacentral:rRNA from 1 species